rnacentral:rRNA from 1 species
GGAGACCUUACAUGGGCAGUCGGGGGGCAUCGGGAGGGAAGCUUGCUUUCCUUGCCGGCGACCGGCGCACGGGUGAGUAACACGUAUGCAACCUGCCCUCUUCAGGGGGACAACCUUCCGAAAGGGAGGCUAAUCCCGCGUAUAUCGGUUUCGGGCAUCCGGGAUCGAGGAAAGAUUCAUCGGAAGAGGAUGGGCAUGCGGCGCAUUAGCUUGACGGCGGGGUAACGGCCCACCGUGGCGACGAUGCGUAGGGGUUCUGAGAGGAAGGUCCCCCACACUGGUACUGAGACACGGACCAGACUCCUACGGGAGGCAGCAGUGAGGAAUAUUGGUCAAUGGGAGAGAUCCUGAACCAGCCAAGCCGCGUGAGGGAAGACGGCCCUAUGGGUUGUAAACCUCUUUUGUCGGAGAACAAAACCCGGGACGUGUCCCGGACUGCGUGUAUCCGAAGAAAAAGCAUCGGCUAACUCCGUGCCAGCAGCCGCGGUAAUACGGAGGAUGCGAGCGUUAUCCGGAUUUAUUGGGUUUAAAGGGUGCGUAGGCGGUCCGUUAAGUCAGCGGUAAAAUUGCGGGGCUCAACCCCGUCGAGCCGUUGAAACUGGCAGACUUGAGUUGGCGAGAAGUACGCGGAAUGCGCGGUGUAGCGGUGAAAUGCAUAGAUAUCGCGCAGAACUCCGAUUGCGAAGGCAGCGUACCGGCGCCAGACUGACGCUGAGGCACGAAAGCGUGGGGAUCGAACAGGAUUAGAUACCCUGGUAGUCCACGCAGUAAACGAUGAAUGCUGGUUGUCCGGGUCGAAU